UCAUCAUAGAAACUGGCAUUUUUAUCCUUUUUUAAUAUACAUAUAUGCUCCAACUAAGCAACAACCUGGACACAUAGAGGAACUUUGCUUUAAGUUGAUUGUGAAAUUAACUCUUAUGUGUCAAUGGAGAUGAAUUGAUCAGGGCGUAUAUUUCCUCUCUUAAGGAUUAUAUGCCCUUUUUCUUUUUUUGGGGGGGGGGGCGGGGAGAACACAUGUGUAGGGGAAGGGCAGAAAGAGAAGGAGAGAAUCCCAAGCAGACUCUACACUGACAGCACUGGGACUCAGUCCCACAAACUGUGAGAUCCUGACCUCAGCUGCUAUCAAGCAUUGGAUGCUCAACUGAUUGAGCCACCCAGGUGCCCCUUCAUUAUAUGUCUUUACUGUAAAACAAAAUAAUAAGUUUCCAUAAAAAGUGAGUAUCUUGUAAUCUAUAGUUUAUCAGUUGUCCCUUGUACCCUGUUUUGAUUAUUUGCUUUCCUCUUUUUCAACAUGAUCUUUAUGAAUAUGUUGUCUUAUUCAAGCACAUUUAGUUUUGAAAAGAUAGUAUACUGUGUUAAUCUGCCCAUAAAAUAACAUAUUACUAUGCAGGAUAAUCAAUUACAAUAGGGUUUUGACUCAUUGCCUUUCAAACAAAGACAGUGAGGAUCUGAAACAUCCUAUUGUUAAAAUAAGGUUUUAAGAACUGAAAUAAGCAUACAACAAUGAUCGGGAAUGGAGCAGAAUUAAAGAACAAUAAAAAACCCCUGCAAUGAAAACAGCCUUGAGUCAUGAAUGAGCAUAAAUUGAAAAAUCUAUUGAUUUUCUCUGUAGACAUUUCUCAAGAUAGUGUCAUACUACCAAGAUGAGAGAUGCUUAUCAGAACUAGUCGGAAAUAAUUCAUCUCAGGGAGAAACCUUCCAUUAUUAGGCGAUGAGAAGCCUAUAACUAGAGCUAUUCUAACCGAGUUCUCUUGGUCUGUUAAAAGGUUUUUAGUAAAAGGUAUCCACAAGUUUGCAUGGGAACCAAGAAACAGCAAAGCAAUUCAUAAUUUUAAUAAUAAUAGAACUGGUAAGUUACACAUUUUAAAUAUCUGCAGAGCACACGGACGAGACAGGACACACAGUGCCGUUGGGAACGCAGCUAGACAGAAUUCUGAAAGGCAAUUGGACAAUAUUAUCGACAAACACCAACAUGUGCAUUUCCAGGGGUGCAGGAAGCUCAGAAAUAGUAUUUUGUUACGGGGAAAUAGUGACAAUAGAGAGCAAAGUGUUAUGCAAGAUGUUUUCUAAGGCGUUAUGACUAGAAGCAAAAGAUUACAUAGCUGUAUAAACUAUGGAAUAAUCUCACAAAACAGUAAUAUGAAGCUAUAAAAAUGUUAACAAAAAUGAUAACAUUUAGAAAUGCUUAUUUUAAUGUAAAUUUAAAAUAACAAGAUAACUGACUUGUAUAACACACAACACUGGUUAGACUUUUUUGAACUAGAGAACAAUAGAUACCAGAAGAAAAUCCAAUGAACGAUUGAAAGAUGAUUUUGAGGGUUUUUGUUUUGUUUUGUUUUUGCUUUUGUGGGUGUGAAUUCCUUGGCAAUUUAUAUUUCUUUCUAAUGAGCAUAUUGCAUUUUUUCCCCAAAUCACAACGCAUUAACUUUAAAGAACACAUAGGCUUCUUACCAGAUACAUCGUUUUUACAUCUUAAAAUUACUUAAAUCUUAAAAUCACUAUCAACCUCUUGUCUUUUCUCUGCCAAGGCAAAAUAAUUCUUGUUCCUUAAACCUUUUCUUCACAGUCUUACCAAAUCAACUCUUUAAUUACAUUUGUUACCCUUCUCUGAAAAGUUUCUCUAGGUCCUUCUUUAAGAACUUUCC
rnacentral:lncRNA from 1 species